rnacentral:rRNA from 1 species
UACGUAGGGGGCUAGCGUUGUCCGGAAUUAUUGGGCGUAAAGAGCUCGUAGGCGGCCUGUCGCGUCGGAUGUGAAAGCCCGGGGCUUAACCCCGGGUCUGCAUUCGAUACGGGCAGGCUAGAGUGUGGUAGGGGAGAUCGGAAUUCCUGGUGUAGCGGUGAAAUGCGCAGAUAUCAGGAGGAACACCGGUGGCGAAGGCGGAUCUCUGGGCCAUUACUGACGCUGAGGAGCGAAAGCGUGGGGAGCGAACAGG